CCCCAGACUCCUACGGGAGGCAGCAGUGGGGAAUAUUGCACAAUGGGGGAAACCCUGAUGCAGCGACGCCGCGUGAGCGAUGAAGUAUUUCGGUAUGUAAAGCUCUAUCAGCGGGGAAGAAAAUGACGGUACCUGACUAAGAAGCCCCGGCUAACUACGUGCCAGCAGCCGCGGUAAUACGUAGGGGGCAAGCGUUAUCCGGAUUCACUGGGUGUAAAGGGAGCGUAGACGGCCAUGCAAGCCAGGGGUGAAAGCCCGGGGCCCAACCCCGGGACUGCCCUUGGAACUGUGCGGCUAGAGUGCGGGAGGGGCAGGCGGAAUUCCUGGUGUAGCGGUGAAAUGCGUAGAUAUCAGGAGGAACACCGGCGGCGAAGGCGGCCUGCUGGACCGCGACUGACGUUGAGGCUCGAAAGCGUGGGGAGCGAACAGGAUUAGAUACCCGUGUA
rnacentral:rRNA from 1 species